rnacentral:rRNA from 1 species
UGGGGAAUUUUGGACAAUGGGCGAAAGCCUGACCCAGCAAUGCCGCGUGUGUGAAGAAGGCCUUCGGGUUGUAAAGCACUUUUGUCCGGAAAGAAAUCCUUGGCUCUAAUACAGUCGGGGGAUGACGGUACCGGAAGAAUAAGCACCGGCUAACUACGUGCCAGCAGCCGCGGUAAUACGUAGGGUGCAAGCGUUAAUCGGAAUUACUGGGCGUAAAGCGUGCGCAGGCGGUUUGCUAAGACCGAUGUGAAAUCCCCGGGCUCAACCUGGGAACUGCAUUGGUGACUGGCAGGCUAGAGUAUGGCAGAGGGGGGUAGAAUUCCACGUGUAGCAGUGAAAUGCGUAGAGAUGUGGAGGAAUACCGAUGGCGAAGGCAGCCCCCUGGGCCAAUACUGACGCUCAUGCACGAAAGCGUGGGGAGCAAACAGGAUUAGAUACCCUGGUAGUCCACGCCCUAAACGAUGUCAACUAGUUGUUGGGGACUUCAUUUCCUUAGUAACGUAGCUAACGCGUGAAGUUGACCGCCUGGGGAGUACGGUCGCAAGAUU